GACGGGGGGGGGCAAGUGUUCUUCGGAAUGACUGGGCGUAAAAGGGCACGUAGGCGGUGAAUCGGGUUGAAAGUGAAAGUCGCCAAAAAGUGGCGGAAUGCUCUCGAAACCAAUUCACUUGAGUGAGACAGAGGAGAGUGGAAUUUCGUGUGUAGGGGUGAAAUCCGUAGAUCUACGAAGGAACGCCAAAAGCGAAGGCAGCUCUCUGGGUCCCUACCGACGCUGGGGUGCGAAAGCAUGGGGAGCGAACAGG
rnacentral:rRNA from 1 species